rnacentral:rRNA from 1 species
GUGCCAGCCGCCGCGGUAAUACGUAGGGUGCGAGCGUUAAUCGGAAUUACUGGGCGUAAAGCGUGCGCAGGCGGUUUUGUAAGACAGGCGUGAAAUCCCCGGGCUUAACCUGGGAACUGCGCUUGUGACUGCAAGGCUAGAGUACGGCAGAGGGGGGUGGAAUUCCACGUGUAGCAGUGAAAUGCGUAGAGAUGUGGAGGAACACCAAUGGCGAAGGCAGCCCCCUGGGUCGAUACUGACGCUCAUGCACGAAAGCGUGGGUAGCAAACAGGAUUAGAUACCCUGGUAGUCCACGCCCUAAACGAUGUCAACUAGGUGUUGGGUGGGUAAAACCAUUUAGUACCGGAGCUAACGCGUGAAGUUGACCGCCUGGGGAGUACGGCCGCAAGGUUAAAACUCAAAGGAAUUGACGGGGACCCGCACAAGCGGUGGAUGAUGUGGAUUAAUUCGAUGCAACGCGAAAAACCUUACCUACCCUUGACAUGUCCAGAACCCGGAGAGAUUUGGGUGUGCUCGAAAGAGAACUGGAACACAGGUGCUGCAUGGCUGUCGUCAGCUCGUGUCGUGAGAUG